UACAGAGGGGGGCAAGCGUUGUUCGGAAUUACUGGGCGUAAAGGGCGCGUAGGCGGCCGCCUAAGUCAGACGUGAAAUCCCUCGGCUCAACCGGGGAACUGCGUCUGAUACUGGGUGGCUUGAAUUCGGGAGAGGGAUGCGGGAAUUCCGAGGUGUAGCGGUGAAAUGCGUAGAUAUCCGGAGGAACACCGGUGGCGAAA
rnacentral:rRNA from 1 species